UACCAGCACCCCGAGUGGUCGGGACGUUUAUUGGGCCUAAAGCAUCCGUAGCCGGUUCUACAAGUCUUCCGUUAAAUCCAACUGCUUAACAGGUGGGCCGCGGAAGAUACUAUAGAGCUAGGAGGCGGGAGAGGAAAGCGGUACUCGAUGGGUAGGGGUAAAAUCCGUUGAUCCAUUGAAGACCACCAGUGGCGAAGGCGGCUUGCCAGAACGCGCUCGACGGUGAGGGAUGAAAGCUGGGGGAGCAAACCGG
rnacentral:rRNA from 1 species